rnacentral:rRNA from 1 species
UGACCGUGCGAAGGUAGCAUAAUCAUUUGUCUUUUAAUUGAAGGCUUGUAUGAAUGGUUGGACGAAAAGCGAUCUGUCUCUAUGGGAGUAAUUGAAUUUAACUUUUGAGUGAAAAGGCUUAAAUGGUCUAGGGGGACGAUAAGACCCUAUAAAGUUUAACAUUAUAGUAGUGAAAGAUUGAUUAAGUUAUAAGAUUUUUUAUUAUAGGUAAUGUUUUGUUGGGGCGACAAGAAUAUAAAUAAUUUAACUGUUCUUUUUUGUAUCAAAUAUGUUUGAGUUAAUGAUCUUUUUUAAGAGUAUUAGAGUAAAUUACUUUAGGGAUAACAGCGUAAUUUUUUUUGAGAGUUCUUAUCGACAAGAAAGUUUGCGACCUCGAUGUUGAAUUAAAGAUUCUUUAUAGUGUAGGUGCUAUGGAAGAAGGUCUGUUCGACCUUUAAAUCUUUACAUGAUUUGAGUUCAGACCGGUGUGAGCCAGGUUGGUUUCUAUCUA